rnacentral:lncRNA from 1 species
GUUUGUCCUGAUGGCUAAAGAUGUGUCUAGGGAAGUAACCACCCUUUCUCCUUCCCACCCCACUGCCAUGUUCUUUUCAUGUAAUUCCUGCCCCUGAACUCUCAGCUACUUAUUGCUAUAGUGCCUUAUUUUUACUUCACCACUGAGCUACCUCCCCAGCCCUUUCCCACCCCCUACUUUGAGGUAGGGUCUUGCUAAAUUGCCCAGGCUGGCCUCAAACUUGCAAUCUUCCCACUGCCUCAGACUCCUGAGUAGCUGGGAUUACAGGUGUGUACUACUGUGCCUCACUGCUUAUUGGUCUUAUUCUGUAGUCAUAUCUGUGUAUGUCCUGUGAUCUAGAAGACUGGAAGCUCACGAAGAGUAGAGUAUUUGUCUUUGAAUUCAAAGAGUAUUUGUCUUUGAAUUCCCCACAGCGCCUUGUCCCUGGCACAAGUAGAUUCAUAAUAAGGUUAGUUGAAUGAAUCUAGUUGAGGAGAAAAUGGGGAAGCAGAAAGUAAUGGUGCCAGAGAAGAUGUGAUAGUGUUCCAGUUAAGGGUCUUAGUAAGAAGUGAUGAGGUUUGUAAGGGUGGUGAUUGGGAGCAAGGGAUUAGAAGAUGCUUAGGAGUUGAUGGGGAGGAAAGUGGAU